UUUUUUUUUUUUUUUGGUCUUUUUGCCUUUCUUGGGCCGCUCCCACGGCAUAUGGAGGUUCCUAGGCUAGGGGUCUCAUCAGAGCUGUAGCCGCCGGCCUACGCCAGAACCACAGCAACGAGAGAUCCAAGCCGCAUCUGCAACCUACACCACAGCUCACGGCAACGCCGGAUUCUUAACCCACUGAGCAAGGCCAGGGAUCAAACCUGCAACCUCAUGGUUCCUAGUCGGAUUGGUUAACCACUGAGCCACGACAGGAACGCCAAUUCUUUAUCUUUUUUUAGCCCAGGCUCCAUGCUAGAAUCACCUGGGGGAGCUUUUAAACUACUAAUGCCCGGCUCUCACCCCAGGCGGAUUCUCAGGGUUGUUUUUGUUGGGCAGAGACUUGAUUCGAAGGGGGCAGGGUUGUUGUUUUGUUUGCUCUACGGAAGGCAGUGAGAUCUAGCACCCACUGAUUAGUCUGUGGCUCGGGGUACACAUGGAGGAAUUAGCCUGUGGCUCAGGAGCACACCUCACAGGUGAAAUACACAGAAAAGAGGGGCAGGUUUGUCAGUGGACUGGGAGAGAAUGGGACCAUCUGGGACCUGCAGGGAAGUGGGCUGGAAGGCCCUGGUGGUAAGAGGGCCCACUGAAGGCCACCUACCGCAGCGGAAGGCUGAUAACCUGGAGGAACUGAAGGGUCCAGCAGCUCGCAGUCCUGACAAGGACAAAGGCCAGGCGAGCGCGUGGAUGGGGAAGAACCCAGUCCCGCCGCUAGAAUUCCCUCUGCACGGACCAGCGGGAAGCGAGGUGACAGCGGGGCCCCACGCUCUAUGACUCACGCCUCACUCACUGCUCCCCAUGGGCCCUUCUCCAUCACCCUCUUCCCUCAGGAGACAAGCCACGGAUUCCCUUCUCCAAGGGUUUGUCUGAAAACCAUCUGUGUGAACGGCAACGACUCUGCUCCCACGAUCCUCUGCGGCUUCGGCGUCCCACAGAAAAGUUAAAGGGAAACGGGACCGAAGAAGCAGGGCAAUGGGAGGAGGUGUGUCCGUGUGUGUAAGGGGGGCGGAGGAAGGGCAGGGGGAGCGGCAGAGGGGACAGGCUGCGGGAGACGUGGGGGGCACCGAGGGUCUGGGCUGAAAGACAGCAGCAGCGCCAGGGAGAAAGGGCAGCAGGAUCUUGGGGCCUGUGUCAGGCUUCUCCCUUGCCCAUCCCGUAAAGGACAAAGGGUACUUUCUACACAGAGCCCGCACGGUUGCCCAUCCCGUAAAGGACAAAGGGCACUUUCUACACAGGGCCCGCACGGAGCAGCAGAGGGAGGCUGAGGCCUCCAGGUCAGCGGAAUGAGAAUGAGGGCGAAGGGUUUGUCAGUUAGUCAUUCGGCACGUCCCUGGGCCUUAGUCAGCGAGCCCAGGCCGAGGACACUGGGCUGGGCAAGCCGGCCGGCCGGCAGAAGGAAGAGACUGCACGCAGACACCCAUCACACCACCUGGAAUUUGGGAGUUUGCCUGGAGCCCUGAGAGGUCUGCUUCCUCCACAGGUAGCCAAUGCCCACCGGCUGUGGGUCUCCUCGGUGGGUGUGCACCGACCUGAAGUAAAGCCACUCAGGUGAGAGGAGAGGGCUGAUAGAAUGUGCAGGAAGAGCUCUGGAGAGAGGAAAAGGCGGCUUUUGGUUAGGGGCAAACCAAGGGGCGGUUAUCAAGGUGGAAGAGAGUUAGCACCGUCUGGCAGAUGUGGGAGAAGGGCCAAAGGGGAAAGAGGAAGCAUGGCUCACUAAUCAGUACUUUUGCUCCAGCAGCAUAUGGGACCAGCUGCUUUCCAUAUGCUCUGUGGUCCAGUCCUGCACCGUCAGUGCUAGCAGCGCUGCCUACAGGUGGAAAACAUGCAAUCAGAAAGGGUGGAGGGAUUUUUCAAGGUCACACAGUGAGUCAGGUAGAAGCAACAGGGAUAUUCCAGGCUGAAGGACAAGGAGGGAGGGAACGCACAGGGUGGGAGGAGGAAAUUGCAAGUGAUUCCGUUUAGCUGAAGGGUAUGGUGAUGAAAGGCGGGCACAUGCUAGAAGAUUAAGUAGUAGGUUGGAGGGAGCUCCUGAUGUGGUGCAGCGGAAACCAAUCUGACUAGCACCCUUGAGGUCACAGGUUUGAUCCCUGGCCUCGCUCAGUGGGUUAAGGAUCCGGCAUUGCCAUGAGCUGUGGUGUAGGUCGCAGACACGGCUUGGAUCCUGUGUUGCUGUGGCUGUGGUGUAGGCGGGUGGCUACAGCUCCGAUUAGACCCCUAGCCUGGGAACCCCCAUAUGCUGCGGGUGUGGCCCUAAAAAAAAAGUAGGUUUGCCCCAAAUCAUGAAGUGUUUUGAAAAGAAGAAAGGAGUUUUGUUUGUCCUGGGGUGUCCCUGGAGAUUUUCAAGGGGUUGGUAUGAUCCCCAUUGUUAUUUACGAAGAACGCCCAGUAACAGUGAGACUCUCAAGAGGAAAGCUGAGGAAAGGAGACCGGGUGGCGGGCAGCUCAGAGGCGCAGGUGCAACACAGUGACGGCUUCGCCUAGAGCAACGGGGUGAGAAGGAAGACGAGGGGGAGGAGCAGAGAGAGGACUGGACUUGGCAGCGAGGACGAGCAGGGCGGGACAUCCUGGGUUUGAGGAAAGAUGGCACAUCCCACGGGCAAUCUGACACAUGGCCCUAUCAGAAAGGACAGGGACGGGGUGGGGGAUCAGAGGAUGGCCUGCGGAGAUGGAACCACCCAGGGGGACGGUAGGAGCCCUAGGUUUGGUGGCAUGCAGGCACUUUCCCAUCCACCUUCUUUCACUUCCUUAAGGAAUGCCCGCCCUCGCUACCUGCCCUUUAAUCGCAGUGUUCUCUCCACUCCCCCCAGCCCGAGCUCCUAGUGAUGCAGACUCCUAGUGAUGCAGAGCAAUCAGGUCUUCCACGAGAUGCGCUGGCCCGUGCGCAGCGCAGGAACGCAGAGAGCCUGGGCCACACUGGCGCCCUGGAGCAGGCCUGAAGCCAGUCACCCUUCAACCCCCCUCUGCAUAACCCAAAGCCACUGGGGUCCCUUUUGUUUCGUUGGUUUUCUGUUAAGCAAGUUCAAUGUGUUGCAAUCAAAACAGACUCAUAUAGCAUGUGAUAAAAACAAAACAGCUCUGGAGCGAGUAGGGAGAGGAGAACAGUAUAGCCUUCAGUGUUCCCUAUAUGCUGGAGGCCUUCUAUGCCCUGCUAAAAACCUGGGCCUUUAUUCUGUAGAAAAUUAAGACCUACAUAAAGGUUUAAAUUUAAUUUAACCUUUAGGGUCGCACCCAUGGCACAUGGAAGUUCCCAGGCUAGUGGUCGAAUCAGCUGUAGCCGCCGGCCUACACCACAGCCACAGCAAUGUGGGAUCCAAGCCAUGUCUGCAACCUACAGCACAACUCACGGCAAUGCCGGAACCUAAACCCAUGGAGCAAGGCCAGGGAUCGAACCCGCAUCCUCAUGGUUCCUCAUCAGAUUCGUUAACCACUGAGCCACAACAGGAACUCUGAAAUUUAAUUUUAAAGAUGCUCAGUGGAAGGUACCUUUUCGAGGUCUGGGCUCUAGCCCCAUGGUCAAGUGCACAGGGGAGGAGGCGGUAAAGGCUUCACAGGGGUGGGUGCCUCCAGAAGGAUGAAUUGUUCAUACAGGGAACAGAGGGGUGGGGCAGGAAAAAGACAGGGCCUGCCUACCAAGGAGAGGGCAGAGCACGCGUACGGCAUGGAGGUGUGACCCGCAGGUACUGGCUACAGCUUGGAGUGCUUGGAGUGCAGUGGCCAGAAGGGUGGAGUUGCCAUAACAACACAAGGCCCAGAGGACUGGUGUUGAGUGUGCGGGGAGGAGAGGCAAGCGUGGAGCCCUGGCCUGCGAUACGCAGUGACUUGCACGGCCGCCUGAAGACCCGAGCCCCGCCCGAGGAAACGCGGUCACAGGAGGCGAGAGAGGAGAGAAGACGCCCCGAGUGUGCACGGAGAGACCUCUGAGAGGCGAGGGGCCCCUUUAGAGACGGCCUGUAGGCAGACCGGGGAACUGAGUCCUUCGCUGGUGUGGACAGGGGCCAGAUACAGUUUGCAAGGGAUGAAAAGGCACAUGUCCGGUGAGGGAGCUUGUCAUCCGGUCCCAAAUCAAAAUCCCAUGAUUUAAAGACCCAACUGGGCUUUAACAAAAGAGGAUAAGGGACAACUCUUACACUCUCUCAAGUGGGAGAAAGAAAGUUCCCAACACUAGAUGUGAAAGUGACUCAUCACGCCAGGCAGGCGAGCAACCAGGCGCCAAGGACCCUGAGGGGUGAAAGUGCACAGAGGGGCUUCUGUGAGGCCGAGCUCCUGAAGUGCAAGCACAGCUGGAGACAGAGACGAGCAGCAGAGGAAGGCAGUUACCUUUUCAUACGAGGACGGGCCAACUAUUGAUUUCAACAAUGACUGUCGGCAGAGUGCUAGACACUACCCUGAGGGCAGCUAAUAUUCACGGAGCUUCUACUAUUGCCAGGCACCCUGUUCUAAGCACUUUAUAUGUAUUAAUGUAUUUACACUUCACAGCAACCCUCUGAAAUAGCCACUAUUAUUAUCUUCCCCAGAAAUGAAGAAACUGAGGCACAGAGAGGUAAAUCAACUUGCCUAAGGCCACACAGCUAGUAAGUGGCACAGCUAAGAUCUAAACCCAGGCGGUCUGGCAUUAGAAAUGCUCCAUUAUACUCUCUGUCCAAAGUCAACCAAAUCAUAAAAGUAAUAAUAAUGACAGCAGCUACCACUUAGAGUGUUUUUGAUGGGCCCGACACCACGGUACACCAGGCACGCGCAUUUCUUGCCAAAGAUCAUACAGCUCUGAGACGGAAGAACUGGAUUCAAACCUUGGCAGCUCAGGGUGCUUGAACUUGGGGGACCAUAAAGAGCAGCAGGGGCUGGAAUACGUUUGUACAACGUAGAGCAUAAACGAGAUCGUUGACCUUACCUGAUGAGAGCGGCCCUGAGCUGUGGACAGCCUGCGUUAUCCGAAGGCUUCCCAGAAGAGUGAUUUGUGAGCUGAGUUUUGAAAGAGGAUUGGGUUCUCAUCACAUAGAUGAUGAGGCGAAGUGUUCCAUGAAGAGGGAACUUUGGGAGUAAAGGAAUGGAGGCCAAAGAGGCUGCGGCAUUCAGGAAACUUCAAGCAGUUUGUAUGGCUUGGGAAUAGAGUGGGGGGCAGGACAAUACAGAAAAUAAGGAAGAAGUCAGGGAGCUAGAUGACACGGAAGCCUACUUGUUCCAGGAAAUCUAAGCCGUUUUUCAAACUCUUCCACUCUAGUAAAU
rnacentral:lncRNA from 1 species